UGAGUUGUCAGAUAAAGGGUAUUUCUUAAAUGUCAUAAAAAGGGUACUUAAUCCCCAUGAUGAAGUUUCUAUUCGUUGAACAAUAAUGGGUAUAUAAUACGCCAGGACAGUUUGAAGAAAAUCACCGUCAUUUUGCAGUGGCUUUUGCGGUGCCGCGUCAUUUUGGUGAUCUGAACUUUUGUUUUUGCUGCCGGAACUAUUUGUUGUGGUGUGAAAAUGCUGCUCGAUAUGCUACUAGCGAUCAUAUUUACGAAAUACUUGUCAAGAAGGCGGCUAUGGAUGGGCCAAUCUCCGGAGCCGUUGUCCAAUGUCAGUCAGUUGGAGCAUCUACGAUUGGAUCUUACAAAUUUUAAAAUGAUAUUUAAUUGUGAUGAUGAAAAUAUUAGCUUGUGAAAUAAUAAAUAUGUAAUGUUUUAUGUUUA